GUGGAGGUGUAUGUCUGACCUCCACCUCAUAGCAUUCAGCCUUGGACUGUUGAUGCUGAUAAUGAUUCUCCUCCCGCCUUGUAAAGUUGAAUGAGGAGGUCAGACGCCCACACCAUGCCAUUCUUCCAUGUACAUAAUGCGGAUUUUAUUACUUGAAGGAGUUGUUAAAUACAUUUGAUAAUGUUCUCCACACCAGGCCUUUAAGUGUUUAAAACUAAAACCAGUUGCCAUGGAAUCUGUCCCAACUCACGGCAACUCCACGUGUGUCAGAGCAGAACAGGGUUUUCAGUGGCUGAUUUUUCAGAAGCAGAUCACCAGGAUUUUUUUCGAGGUGGCUGUGGGUGGACUUGAGCCUCUAACCUUUGGGUUAGCAGCCCCAAGCGCGUUAACAGUUUGCACCGCGCAGGGACUAAGAAAGACUAAGGCACAAAAGAAGGUGAAUUGUUUUUUCCUUUCCCCUUGGAAUGGAGAGAGCUUCUGACUGCUUCUCUAGCUGAAACUGAAAUUGAGAAAUAAAAGUUUAUCUUUUAUUCAUGUUAGAUAAUGUGUUUUUUUGGCUUUCUUGUCGGUGUAUAGCAUUUCUCACCUCCGACCCGAGAUCAUUUUUAGGUGUCGUUUCGAAUGCUAGUUAUUGCUAUAUUUGGUAAACAAGAUUAUUUUUAGAUUUUUUAAACCCUUGACAGUAAAUAUAAAAUGGUUCAGAUUCGGUGUCAUAACUUGGGUUUGGGUGUGUAGUUUGGGAAAAUGGAAUUUGAUGAGUCAUAUUUGAGACUUCUCAGGUAGUGUUCACUUUGGGUUACUGCCAGGAGCCAUCCCGAAAUAAAAAUUGUAGCUUAAAAAACAAAAGAAAACUGUAGCUUUUUUUUGCUGAGCUUCAUACAUAACAACUUUUUGAUUGGGGGAGGGGGAGGGGUUUGAGCUAAUUGUCAGAGGAGUCAGGUUGCUAUGGAGUUCGCUUUUUAUUUUAUUUUUUUUAAGACUUAGAGCUUUUUUAUAUUAAUAGGCAAAAUGUUGUGCAUAUCCUGCUCACAUGUAUCCAUACAUAAAAAAGUCAGCUGACAAUGUACAGGGUAGUGGGAAAUCUGCACAGAGCCAACCAUUUAUCAGCAUGCCAUCACUUCCCACUUCUGACAUUUCCAUUCUUUUCAAACAUUUGUCCAGUCUGGAAACCUUUGAGGCAGUCUUUGAUUUCCACAGUUUUAUCCCGUGGAACUGACAUUUUACCAAAUCUUACUGAUUUCUUUAUAACAGCAUAAUUGAGAUAUAAUUCACAUACCACACAAUUCAUCCAUUUAAAGUGUACAAUUCAGUGGUUUCAGCAUGUUCACAGAGCUGUGAAACCAUCACCACUGUCUCAUUUUGGACCAUUUUCAUGACUCCCCCAAAAGAAACCCUUACCCGUUCCCCUAGGCAUUAUUCCCCUCUCCCCCGAGCCCUGGGCACUCAUUAACCUAUUUUCUGUCUCCAUGGAUUUGUCUCUUCUGGACAUUUCAUACACAUGGAAUCAAAUGUGGCCUUUUGUGACUGGCUUCUUCCACUUAGCAUGUUUUCAGGGUUCAUCCAUGUUAUAGUAUGAAUCAGUAUUUAGUUCCUUUUUUUGUGGCUAUGCCAUGUUUAUUUUGAGACACAAGGUAAGAAUAGGAAGUAGAAACUAGGAACAUUGUUAGUGUAAUGCUUUAUAAAUUAGAAGGCUCAACUCGGCAAAGCUCCAGAGAGGUUAAGUGUCUUGCCCAGAGACAUAGAGCUAGGUAUAUACUGGGAGAACCAGAACUGUAGUUGAUUUUUACUGAAAUUUUUCCAGUCCCAUGUUCUUUCUGCUAGGUAUUAGAGCUAAUAUUCUCAGCUAAUUUUCUCUCCUCCUUAAAGCAAAUAUAAUACUCUUUCUGGAUUUGGGAAACCUGCUCUGUCUGCCUGGUUUCAGCCCACAGGAGUGAAAAAAAUCAUUCUGCUUCUUGGUAAAAUACCACUUUGCAAGAUGUGUUUGAUUAAUCAAUUGAUGAGAAAAUGGACUUUGAUUAGAGACUAGACUUUUAUAUUUCUUAAUUACUAGCAAUAAAGCAGCCUAAAUUAUGGCUUGUUGGGAAGCCUGGUGAGCUUAGUAAGGACCGCUGUGUGCCGUCCCUGUGUGCAUUUCCAUCUGGAAGGCGAGGCUGGGCCACAGCCCGCGGGGCUGAUGCUCCGGGCACCACCCUGUGCUGUCCCAAUCUUAACUCCUCUGCUCUGUGGGAGAAGGAGCAACACUGACUAAGCAAAACGAGGAGAAAACAUCUGAUGGUGGUUUCAGUUUACGAAGUUAGGCCUCCAGUUGGAGGUUCUUAAUCGCUGAGAGAACAGCAGGGAAUUAUAGAUCAGCUUUCCAACUUGAAGCUCCAGGAGCUUCGGCCUUACGCUCGCUUGGAUUUACUUUUGGCAACAUCGUUGGAAUGUAUCUGGCUCAGAACUAUGAAAUUCCAAACCUGGCCAAAAAACUUGAAGAAAUUAAGAAGGACUUGGAGGCCAAGAAGAAGCCACCUAGCUCAUGAGGUGACUCCACUGUCCGUGGAUACACCGAUCGGACCGUCCUUGAAGGUCUUCUCACCUUUGAACCAAAGGCUCCUGUUCCCAUCACAGCCUCGCCAGAUUCUUUGAUAGACCCUGAGUUGCCUUAGAGCAAAAAUGGGGUCACCAGUUAAGAGCGCCCCAUACCUUCCCCACAUCCUCACUUCUCCCCACCCUUCUUCCAGCUGCUUGGGAGACCCUAAGACUGGAUUAUGGUGCUAGAUCAGUAAACGCGAUCUUCAGUUAGUAGCCUCCUCUUUGUUCUUUGGAAUUUCUACUACCUUUUUCAAAAGAAAACUUGAUGAGGUUUAUAAAGCUGAUCAGAUACAAAUAAUGCUAAUUUCACAGUUACAGCAGUUAUAAUAGGUGCUUGGUAACCCUUUGGUAAUAAAUGAUGUUGUUUCAAAGUAAUUAAAAUUACUAUCUGGAAGCUGGUUUCUAAUGCAUUACCCAUUUAUUUUCUUCUGUGGUUAGGCAGCUCCAUGUUUGCUCAUUUAAGCAGUAAAUCAAUUUACCAUUCACUAACUGAGUAACUAUAUUCUGAGAAUGUUGUUAGAAUCUGGGGAAUUAAAAAUACAUAAAGCCGUGGUCCUCAUCCUCAGUGGAGUUCAGUCUGUUGAUCUGGCUCUUGUGCCUCAAAAGAAUCAUGCUCAGGGUGAGGUAUUACAAGUGCAUUUGAUGUUACUUGAUGAGAAAAUGAGAAGUUGUAAGGGAAAUUUUAGGCCCUUUCACACUGUUAAAAAAUACGUAUUUACAUAAUAACUUUAGAGAGAAUCUCAUAAGGAAAAUAUGGC